rnacentral:rRNA from 1 species
GACGAACGCUGGCGGCGUGCUUAACACAUGCAAGUCGAACGGAAAGGCCCUGCUUUUGUGGGGUGCUCGAGUGGCGAACGGGUGAGUAACACGUGAGUAACCUGCCCUUGACUUUGGGAUAACUUCAGGAAACUGGGGCUAAUACCGGAUAGGAGCUCCUGCUGCAUGGUGGGGGUUGGAAAGUUUCGGCGGUUGGGGAUGGACUCGCGGCUUAUCAGCUGGUUGGUGGGGUAGUGGCUUACCAAGGCUUUGACGGGUAGCCGGCCUGAGAGGGUGACCGGCACAAUGGGGCUGGGGAGACGGCCGAAACGCUUAGGGGGGGAAGCAGGGGGGAAUUUUGCACAAUGGGCGGAGGCGUGAGGAAGCACCGCGGGGGGCGGAUGACGGCCUUCGGGUUGUAAACCGCUUUCGCCUGUGACGAAGCGUGAGUGACGGUAAUGGGUAAAGAAGCACCGGCUAACUACGUG